UUUAGAGGUAUAAAUGAAUGGGUUGGUGAAAAUAUUGUGAAAAUUACAAAUGCACAAACUUCACCGGUCGGUCAAACAUUGAUUGAUUUUAACCAUUAGAUUAUUUCCACACAACCCAAAUAUCUUUGGAGCUUUAUAUGUGUCACUAUAAAUUCAACUCAUCUACAAUCAACAUGCUUCCAUGACUUUCUCUCUCUCUCACAAACACAUCUUAUCUUGGACAAGGGGUUUUCUUGGAUGAUCGGUCGGAAGUUUGAGGUGAUCGAACGAUCAACAUGUAUUGAUGGCGUGACACAUGUAAGCGAUUCCCGUAUUAUUCUUGUCAAGUCAGCCGUCGCCUUAAUUUUGCAGUUAGCCUUUGCUUCAUUGUCUGUUCGACCUUAAAACUGAUAGAAAACCCUAAUUGUGACCUUAAUUUAUGCACAAGAUUUCUUCAAUUUUUUAAAUUUGGAUCAUGUAUAGAUUAACUAGUUCACAUGAAUGAAUUUGAGGUUAUGAAAUUCUUCUAAGUAUCGACCGAAUAUCAAAUUAGGAAUCAAUGAUCCUUUUGGAGACUAUAAAAUCAUAGAAAUUUCGAUUAAAAUAUAUUUAUGCACUACAUAUAUCACUAUACAUAAAUAGAACACAUAAAUUGUGAAUCGUGAUAUGUACAUGAAUGGAUGUGGAUACUAUAUAUUAUGAAGAAAUAAACAUAGAAUAUUUAGGAACUUGUAUUUUCUGACAUUGCUGAUCAUACAGAUUUUGCUUGGAUCCUUCUAGUAUUGAAACUGCUGUAUUUUUUGUCAUCUGCAUAAUAAAGCCAACUGUAAUUCUUACCUUUUUAUAAUUUCAAAACUAUAUAUCUCUACUAAAUAAUGAUAUUUACAUAGAUUGAUUGGUGUUGGUGUAGGGUAUGGGUAAAAGUGAUUCAUUUAAUAUAGUUUUAAAUAGGGGGACCAUGGAAGCCCAUUGCAUAUUAAUGUUUCAAUUUAAGGUAGCAAACUCUUUGGAAUUGAAUGUGACGAAUAAAUCAAGAAUUGGGAGUGUGGGUGCAUGUAUCUUGAAAUAUACCAUAUGCUAAAUAAAUGAAAAUUGGUGGUGAUUAAAAUCUCUGUAUAAAGAUUUUAUAUGAAAUGAGACAUUAGAUUGAAAUGAGUUCAUGUGGUAGAUAGUUUGUAACAAUUAGGGAAUUAAAAGGGUGUUUAAUUAAGAUUAGUUUAAGGUUGAACAGCAAAUGAAGCUAAGUUAUAACUUGCAAUUGACUGCUGGCUUUGCCAAGAUUAUGUAUGGAAAUCGAUUAAUCACUUUCAGCAGAAAAGGUGGUGGCUUCGUGACAAGUGGAAUGCAAAGGGUCAAUUCAAACUGAGCGAAGAGAAGAGAUGAUUUAGAUGUUGAAUUAUCAUCUGCUUUAAUUCCUUUGUGUGCAUGAUGUAGCUCAAGUUUAGUGAGUGAAACUAAUUAAGUGGAGAUCUCAAGAUGAUCUUAACACCUGCUCCAUUUCCAGCCAUAACUCUAUUUGACAAUUAUAACAUUUUAAAGAGAUA